CAGCGUCCGCUGCCCGGCUGGUUGGAGGCUCCCCACGUCCCCCAUGCCGCCCACGUGCCCCCGCUGGCGCUGAGGGGUUCUUCGGACCCGCGGCGGGGCUGCUCUCGGGAAGGUGGGCGCCACCGGCUGGCCGGAGCGGGGAGCGAUGCCGGUCGCCGCCCGCGCAGCACCCCGUGGGACGCAGUACGACGCCAGCUUCCUCGCCCCCGCCCGCCGGCGGGACAGCAGCGCCGUUCCGCGCGGCGAGGAGAGCAGUGGCGAGCGGCUUCAGCCACUCCGCCAGACCGGCGAGGCGGGCCGGCGCGGCAGAUGGGUGGCUUCCGCCGCCCCCUUCCUGCCUUCCCUCUCCUCCCCUCCACCGCCCCCCGCCUCCUCCGCUGCCUCCUCCCCCGCUGCCGAGGCCGCUGCCGCCUCCGCUGCCUGCCUCCUCCCGGCACCCCAGCGGACCCGCGUUCGCUCCCGCUCCGGCUUCCCUGGACUCGCCAUGAGCGGCGGCGCCGCUCGCCUACCGCCGCCUUCUGCCCUCUGCCCGCCGCUGCCCCCCCUCCACGGGCCGAGCCUGCCGGAGCCGGGAGCGCGCAGCCAGGGCCGGGGUAGCCCCGCUGGCCACGGUGCAACCCGCGCCGCCCCGGGCGCCAGAGGCCUGCCGCCAGGUAGCAUUGGUCCAUCCUUUCAAUGCCACUCAAUCCAUCAAGAUCACAUUUGUAAUGAUGACAGUGACAAGAGCGAAGACAGUCCUAGUCCCAAGCGACAGCGCCUUUCCCAUUCAGUCUUUGACUAUACAGCAGCAUCACCAGCCCCAUCACCGCCAAUGCGACCAUGGGAGAUGACAUCAAAUAGGCAGCCUCCUUUGGCUCGACCCAACCAACACCACUUCUCAGGGGAACGAUGCAACACACCUGCACGAAACAGGAGGAGUCCUCCUGUUCGACGUCAGAGAACAAGGAGAGAUCGUUUGUCUAGACAUAAUUCCAUUAGCCAGGAUGAAAAUUAUCACCAUCUCUCCUAUGGACAGCAGCAAGCAAUAGAAGAGCCCCGAGCCUUUCACCCACCGAAUGUAUCUCCUCGUAUGUUGCACCCAGCUGCUCACCCACCACAGCAGAAUGCAGUGAUGGUUGACAUUCAUGAUCAGAUCCAUCAGGGCACAGUUCCUGUCUCAUACACAGUGACAACGGUGGCUCCGCAUGGCAUACCACUUUGCACAGGCCAGCACAUCCCAGCCUGCAGCACACAGCAGGUCCCAGGGUGCUCAGUGGUGUUCAGUGGGCAACACCUUCCAGUUUGCAGUGUGCCUCCCCCAAUGCUUCAGGCGUGCUCAGUCCAGCACCUACCUGUACCAUAUGCAGCAUUUCCACCCCUCAUUUCUAGUGACCCUUUCCUUUUGCAUCCUCCUCAUAUCUCUCCACACCACCCUCCUCACUUGCCUCCUCCAGGACAAUUCGUUCCUUUCCAAGCACAGCAGUCACGGUCGCCACUUCAAAGGAUAGAAAAUGAAGUAGAACUGCUUGGAGAACAUCUUCCUGUAGGAGGUUUUACAUACCCUCCCUCAGCCCAUCCACCAACAUUGCCUCCCUCAGCUCCUCUCCAGUUCUUAACCCACGAUCCUUUACACCAGGAGGUGUCAUUUGGUGUACCUUACCCACCUUUUAUGCCUCGAAGACUCACAGGGCGCAGCAGAUACCGAUCACAGCAGCCAAUACCACCACACCCUUACCAUCCCAGCCUAUUACCUUAUGUGCUAUCAAUGCUCCCAGUGCCACCUGCAGUUGGACCAGCUUUCAGCUUUGAGUUGGAUGUGGAAGAUGGAGAGGUAGAAAACUAUGAGGCACUGCUGAAUUUGGCAGAACGUCUAGGAGAAGCCAAACCACGAGGAUUGACAAAGGCAGACAUUGAACAGCUUCCAUCCUACAGGUUCAAUCCAAACAACCACCAGUCAGAACAGACAUUGUGUGUGGUGUGCAUGUGUGAUUUUGAGUCAAGGCAGCUACUUAGAGUCUUACCCUGUAACCACGAGUUCCAUGCCAAGUGUGUCGAUAAAUGGCUGAAGGCUACAAAUGCCAGCAGAGUGGAAGCACUGCCUACUUACGAUAAUUUUCUAACAACUGAUGAAGGAAGUUUUUUUAUAAUCCUUGGAACAAGGAAAAAUUAAUUUGAAGAGAAUUAUUUUCAUUGACAGAUCUUACUGUGUUUUCCAUUUGCACAAAACAAUGACUGUGAAUUCAAGUAAUCUGUAAAAUUAAAGACUUGAAAACAAAAAGGCAAAUCGUACCUGCCCAAUUUGUAGAGCUGAUGCUUCGGAAGUGCAUCGUGAUUCAGAAUGACCAAUCUAAGAGCACAAAUCUGGUUGUGUGUUCCUGGUUGCAUGUAUAUACGAACUAUCUAUUGAACUUACCCGUGUGGCUUCCAGCCUACCCUUUACACAAAAGGGUCAAUGGACCUUACUUUGCACUGUGUGACUUAAUCAAUUACAAAGCUUAUAACUAGUCUUCACAGUUACGGGAUUGUUAUACUAACAGUGUGAUUGGAACUCCAAAGAUUAUUAUUUUUUUUUAGCUUAAUUUUGUGUGUGCACUAAUGUUCCCUGGGUUUUGUGUGAUCAUUCCGAGUGUUGCUGCGAGAUUACUGUGGAUGUGAUCUUUUAGCAUGUGCUUUUAUAUAAAAGAAAAAGGAAAAAAAAAAAGUGGUAGCUCUAAACAAUAUAGCAAUCUACCUUAUAUAGAGCCUUCAGAUACUGUGAGUGGGAAUGAAUGGUGUGAAUGUGUGUUUGCUUGUGAGAGGAUGCAUGAAGCGUGCUUGUGACUGAGUGUGCAUGUGUGUUUGAGAACCUAUAUACCAGCAUGUACUGAGAACGUAUGUGUGUAGUAAUAAUUAUGCUGCAAUGUAUAAUCUUGUGUGUUAUUUAAACAGUACUAGUACUGUACACUGGUUCCUUUCCUUGUGUUUGCAGUUGCACACUGAAUGCAAUGGGUGCAGCAAUUACAGACAUUUAGUAUUUCCUCCCCAAUGUACUUACAGGUAUAAAGACCUUUCUACCUACUAUUCAAACAGCUGUUAUGCUUCCCCUUCAUUGGAGGCUUUAAAUGUGUACCACUAAAGAGUGCAUUGAUUAUUCAUACAUGAGUAACCUUGGGGGUUUUGGCAUAUGUUACAAAGUCUGGAUUUUUAAAUGGCUGAUUUACAAGUCAUUUUAUCAAUGUAAAGUUGCAAUAUCGCACAAAUCAUUUAGCAAUAUUAACAUUUUCAAUUGCUAAUAUGAGUAUCAAUGCUUUUCUGUUGUCCUUUUAAAUUUUUCUAGCUGGGUUUGCCAGCUUCUUCCAUGAAAGGAAGCAGAAAGGACAUUGAAGGUCUUGUGCAACAGCUCUUCACUUUUGGCCAUUGUACUUGCUAAGGAUAUAAUCUUUUACCUUAUGUAAACAUAUGUUUUAAUCACAUACAUUCUUUGUCAUUUCCAAGGGAGUUUGUAUGGAAUUAAAAUAACUUGUUAAAGGUUACAAUUUUAUUCCUGAAACAUGAUGAAUAAAAUAAAAUUUCUAGCAUUUUCUCAGACAAGUAGAACUUCUGAUUUUUUUUCAUUGUAUGACAAGAGAAGAUGAGUUUUGGUCACUAGCUGCAGAAUUCAGUUGUCUUAAUGCUGCUUCUUGCCCUUCUUGUUUCAUGAUGAGUGUAAUAUAAAGAAGGAACUCCCUUGGUUUUUGCAAUCAAGUUUCCAGAGCGCUGCAUUGUAGGAGAAAAGAGGAACACCUUCCAGAACAGUGCUGUGAAACAGGAGGUGACAACCUCUAUUCAAGUGCUCUGAAUAAUGUUUUAUUUGAGCUGUUGAAAAAAAUUAGCUUCAGUUAUAACAUUGAGACUGUUAAAUGUUCUAGCAAAAUAUUUAGGUCUGCAUAUACCACAGUUACUCAAAGGAUGCACUUUUUGCAGCAACAUUCUUCUCCUAAAUGCUGUGUUAUUACUUUGGUUGCAGCAGCACAAGUGGCACAAUUAGCAAUAUUGCUGCAACUUGCUGCCAAUCUCAGCUUUAAGUUUAUUCUUUAUAAUUUCUGAUGCUUUUGUAUGCUGGUAUGCUUUAGUAUCAGUUAUAAUUUCAAGCAGUGUUAGAUGUUCUCCAUGCUGAUUUCCCUCUCUGAAUAUUCUACAGACCAGUCACAGCUCUUGGUGCAGAUAAAAUAAAAGCACAAUUUUGCCCUAUUUCAGAUGCUUUUCCCUCUGUUUAGUUAUGCAGGUAGUUCUCAAAAACAGUGAGUCUUUCCAUACCUAUCCAUACUUAAGAACACUAAAGAAAUAAAAAUACUGUUACAUUAACUUCAAAAUAUUAGAAUUUCUCCACUCUUCCAGUGGCUUUUCACAAUAACACCUAGUAGGUUAAAUUACAUGUAAUAAAAUUUAUUUUUUUAACAAAUAAAAUGUUGUUUAAAAAUCAUAUGCCACAUAUGUCUCACAAAACUUAGGCUCUUUUAUAUAGCUGCAAAAGAAAAAAAUCUGUGUACAGAUUUAAACAUAACUAACACUACUGUGCUCAGUAUUCAGUUUAAAGUAUGGAAAGAGAGCACUUUUCUAAGCUAGAUACAAAUGAACAAGACCUAUUCUUCUGAAACCAAGGGAAAGUAGUCCUCUUUCUGGAAUUGGAGAAAUCUUGAUAUGUAACGUCCCUUUUUUCCCAGUAAAACUCUGUGAGGAGGUGGGAGGUCUAGGAGAUGGAGGGUCUAAGUUGGUAAAAUCUUGAAAUUAAUUGUUGCACUCUUACAGCUCAUCUCUUCUGGAAUGGUUCUUUUGUUUGCAUGGGACUCUUGCAGAUGUAUGUGGACUUGCUUCCUGUGGUUAGUGUGUAUAAACAGCACACAUGCAUAUGUUCUGAAUCAGCUCAGACAAGCUACAGCCAAGUCCUCUCUGUUGUGGCUGUCAAGGGAGGGGGAUUAACGUUCAGCUGUCAACUGCCAUGUGUUAUGCACAUUUGUGCGUAAUUCCACAGCCUGCCAUGGUGCCUGGCAGCACCUGAAUUCCACAAGACUUUUUUUAUGUUCAUUGCCUUUCUGCCAUCACCUGGCUCCUGCUUCUCAAAUAAACAAACAAACAAAAAAAACCCCCCAAAACCCACCCAAAAAACCAACAACCUGUAAUAUGUUUGUUUUAUCAUAUUGGCACUGCUGUGUUUUUUGCAUAAACUGUCAAUUUAAUUUGACAUUUUAGCGGAUAUCAAGGCCUACAGAUAAUUCCAAUGUCUCAUUUUGUGAUUUUCUUUAAAAAAUAUUAAAGCCUUUUGUUCUAUGCUAUUUUGUGCAGGCUCUUGAAUGUGGUUUCAGAACUGUUAACACAUUGUGUAAUACUUGGGAUGAGAUUUACCAACUUUUUUAAUUUUAAUGGUAGAAAACACAUUUUUGACUGAGUUAUCUUUGGGCCUUUGUAAAAGCUGUGGGUUUUUUUCUUUGUUACCUCAUUUUGCUACUUGUGUUUCAGAUUUGCUAAUGAUUAUGAAAGCUUAUGGGUUUUGUUGGAAUCAUAUUUUGUCAAGUGUUUCCUGUAAAGCAUAAUCUAUUGUAUCAUUUAACAUUUAGUUUUAAAUAUAUUAUAAAUAUCUGUAACCAAAUCAUUUGAAGGCUUGAUAAAUUUUUAACAAAAUUUGUACAUUUUUUAUGAGAGUUACUAGUAAUGCUUUACUAGGUAGUGCAAUGAAUUUUUAUUUUUAAUCCCUGUGCCCAAUUUUGGAGUUGAGAGAGUUGUUCAGUAAUA